rnacentral:lncRNA from 1 species
CAUAGAUAUAAAAAUCAAAUUUUUACUAACUACAGGUAUAAAAUAACAGUCUUUCAGAAUUAAACUAAGUCCCAACGGUAGUCAUAAAGAGUAGGUCCCGAUGGCCACAACAGCAACUCUUAUCCUAUUACCGACACAAAGAGUGAUUUUGUCUUCUCUUAUGCCUCUAAUUUAUUCUAGAUCCUGCAUAGAAGUGCACAAGUGAGCACUCGAGCC